rnacentral:rRNA from 1 species
AGAAUCAACGCUGGCGGCGUGCCUAACACAUGCAAGUCGAACGAGAAAGUGGAGCAAUCCAUGAGUAAAGUGGCGCACGGGUGAGUAACACGUGACUAACCUACCCUUGAGUGGGGGAUAACCUAGGGAAACCUGGGCUAAUACCGCAUAAUACCGAGAGGUCAAAGGAGCAAUUCGCUUAAGGAGGGGGUCGCGGCCGAUUAGUUAGUUGGCGGGGUAAUGGCCCACCAAGACUAUGAUCGGUA